rnacentral:misc_RNA from 1 species
UUAACUAUUAUAUAGUACUCAGACGACAAAAAUAUUCAGAGUUUAGGUAUCCCCUGGCGGGCACACUCAGGCGCGAGAGCCAGAGGCGCGGCCGAAGCCACGCGGCACCGCCAAAGCAACGAGGUAAUAAUACACAAGGGUGGGAGGUCUACCCCGAAGGGCAUGAACUCUGUAAUGAUCCUUCCGCAGGUUCACCUACGGAAA